rnacentral:rRNA from 1 species
UACGUAGGGUGCGAGCGUUAAUCGGAAUUACUGGGCGUAAAGCGUGCGCAGGCGGUCUGUUAAGACCGAUGUGAAAUCCCCGGGCUUAACCUGGGAAUUGCAUUUGUGACUGCACGGCUAGAGUGUGUCAGAGGGGGGUAGAAUUCCACGUGUAGCAGUGAAAUGCGUAGAUAUGUGGAGGAAUACCGAUGGCGAAGGCAGCCCCCCUGGGAUAACACUGACGCUCAUGCACGAAAGCGUGGGGAGCAAACAGG